UACGGAGGGUGCGAGCGUUGUCCGGAAUCACUGGGCGUAAAGGGCGCGUAGGCGGCCGUUCAAGGGCGCGGUGAAAGCCCGGGGCUUAACCCCGGAAUUGCACCUCAAACUACAUGGCUAGAGCAUUGGAGAGGGUAGCAGAAUUCAUGGUGUAGCAGUGAAAUGCGUAGAUAUCAUGAGGAAUACCAGAGGCGAAGGCGGCUACCUGGACAAUUGCUGACGCUCAGGCACGAAAGCGUGGGGAGCAAAAGGG
rnacentral:rRNA from 1 species